ACGGAAGCCGGGCGAGGCCAAGGUCGAGCCGGAAGAGAAGGCUCGAUCUCCCGACCUCGGCUCCUAGCACGGGUCCCGGAACCCACGCGGAGCACAUACCGCGGAAUAGGUAAGAGUGUUGCGGGCCUGCGUAAUUGCGAAGAUCGGACGACCUCGACGGUCCUUUGGGUGGGGCUGCGGUCGAAGCGGAGCGCAAGGACGCCGAGGCCACCCACGCAACCCGAUACGCACGCUUGGUAACCGGAGCCCCGUGCUAGCGGGCGGUGAGCCGAUGUGGUCGCGAGACCAUCCGGAGCACCGCCCGCUUCAUGUU
rnacentral:ncRNA from 1 species